AUGAGAGAUAUGCAAAGCAAUUCUAGACUGGAAUCUGAUGAGACUCCUGAACCUGCUAUUCCGAUGGAAUAUUAUGAACAUAAAAGUGAUAAGAGUUCCACGGAGGAUGACGAGGAAGCUCCUGUUAGGAGCAAGAGACAGAGGACUGCAAAGUCCUUUGGUGAUGAUUUCCUCGUGUACCUCGUGGAUGAUGAUACUCCCAGCUCCAUUUCAGAAGCUUAUGCAUCUCCGGAUGCUGACUACUGGAAGGAUGCGGUCCGUAGUGAGAUGGACUCCAUCUUGGCUAACGGGACAUGGGAGAUCACUGAUCGUCCUUAUGGUUGUCUACCAUUAGGAUGUAAGUGGGUGUUCAAAAAGAAGCUUAGGCCCGAUGGUACUGUUGAGAAGUACAAGGCUAGGCUUGUGGCCAAGGGUUAUACCCAGAAAGAAGAAGAGGAUUUCUUUGACACUUAUUCACCUGUGGCUAGACUGACAACCAUUCGAGUGUUACUUGCUUUGGCUGCCUCGCAUGGUCUUCUCGUUCAUUAG
rnacentral:rRNA from 1 species